rnacentral:tRNA from 1 species
GGAUAUAUAGCUCAGCGUCACAGCACUUGCCUGGCAAGCACAAGGCCCUGAGUUCGAUUCCCAGUGCUCCCC